GACAGAGGUGGCGAGCGUUGUUCGGAAUCACUGGGCUUAAAGGGCGAGUAGGCGGUAGGGCAAGUCUGAGGUGGAAUCCUAUGGCUCAACCAUAGAACUGCCUUGGAAACUGUUCUACCUGAGUCAGUGAGGGGAGGGCGGAAUUCCCGGUGUAGCGGUGAAAUGCGUAGAUAUCGGGAGGAAGGCCGGUGGCGAAGGCGGCCCUCUGGCGCUGUACUGACGCUGAGGCGCGAAAGCGUGGGGAGCAAACAGG
rnacentral:rRNA from 1 species